rnacentral:rRNA from 1 species
GAUACCCUAUUAUUUUUAAAGUAAUUUAUUAAACCUAAUUAGUAAUAGUUAAGUUCUGGAAAAUUAAAGAAUUUGGCGGUAUUUUAGUCUAUUCAGAGGAAUCUGUCCUAUAAUUGAUAAUCCACGAUUUUUUAUACCUAUUUUAUUAAUUUACAUAUCGCCGUAGUUUGAAUAUUUUUUAAAAAUUUUAAUAUUCAUAAUUUAUUUUUAUUAAGAAAGUCGGGUCAAGGUGUAGUUUAUGAAUAGGAAGAGAUGGGUUACGGUAAAAAUAUUUAUAUACGGAUUAUUAAAUUAAAAUUUUUGAUGAAGGUGGAUUUGAUAGUAAUUUUAUUUA